rnacentral:rRNA from 1 species
CCCUUAGAUGUUCUGGGCCGCACGCGCGCUACACUGAUGCAUUCAACGAGCCUAGCCUUGACCGAGAGGUCCGGGUAAUCUUUGAAACUGCAUCGCGAUGGGGCUAGAUUAUUGCAAUUAUUAAUCUUCAACGAGGAAUGCCUAGUAAGCGUGAUUCAUCAAAUCGCGUUGAUUACGUCCCUGCCCUUUGUACACACCGCCCGUCGCUCCUACCGAUUGAGUGUGUUGGUGAGGAGUUCGGAUUGGCUCUUAGUGGUGGUUCGCCACCACCUAGAGCUGAGAAGUUCUCCAAACCGCCCCACUUAGAGGAAGGAGAAGUCGUAACA